ACAGGUAUGCUGGAAUUGGCAGACAGACCAUGCUCAGGUCAUGGCGGAGUACACCGUAUAGGUUCAAGUCCUAUUACCUGUA
rnacentral:tRNA from 1 species